rnacentral:rRNA from 1 species
AUGAAAUUCUUGCAGUACAUUAGCGUUGGGGGUUGCCAACAAUUUGUGGAACUUCCACAUAGCAUUGUAAAUUUAGGAAAGCUAUGGUCUCUUGACUUCAGAGGAACUAGAAUAAAUGGUAUACCUAGGGGGUUCUGUGCUUUAAAAAAUUUGAGGAGACUACGUGGGUUUCCGGUCCAGGUGGAUGGUGACUGGUGUAGUUUGGAAGAGUUGGGCCCCGUUGGCCAGCUCAGGGAUCUUUAUCUGAGUGGACUGCAGAAUGCAUCUGCUACAUCGUCUGCCUCAAAGGCAAGGCUUAGUGAGAAGGCGCAUCUUACCAACUUGUAUUUACAGUGCAGUAGUGUACUUUGGGUUGAUGGGCUGAUUAAAGAUGAAGAAGGUGUCUCUGAGCAGCGACAAAUCAAGGAGGUGUUUGAUGGGUUGUGCCCUCCGCCCAGCUUAGAUUAUCUUAGUAUGUCAGGAUAUUUUGGCCGACAACUCCCAAGGUGGAUGACGUCAACAUUAUUAGCAUCAUCCCUCAGGUGCUUGAGGACUCUUUGGAUGGAAGAUCUGACUUACUGCACACAACUUCCUGCUGGCUUGUGUUAA